rnacentral:rRNA from 1 species
AGAGUUUGAUCAUGGCUCAGAACAAACGCUGGCGGCGUGCCUAACACAUGCAAGUCGUACGAGAAAGGGCCUUCGGGCCUGAGUAAAGUGGCGCACGGGUGAGUAACGCGUGGAUAAUCUGCCCCUCAGUUAGGAAUAACCCAUCGAAAGGUGGGCUAAUACCAAAUAAUGCUGCAAAACCCCGGUUUUGUAGCCAAAGAUGGCCUCUGCUUGCAAGCUGUCGCUGAAGGAUGAGUCCGCGUACCAUUAGCUAGUUGGUAGGGUAAUGGCCUACCAAGGCGACGAUGGUUAGCUGGUCUGAGAGGAUGAUCAGCCACACUGGAACUGAGAUACGGUCCAGACUCCUACGGGAGGCAGCAGUGAGGAAUCUUGCGCAAUGGGGGAAACCCUGACGCAGCAACGCCGCGUGAGUGAAGAAGGCCUUCGGGUCGUAAAGCUCUGUCGGGUGGGAAGAAACGUGUGGAGGUGAAUAGCCCCCAUACUUGACGGUACCGCCAAAGGAAGCACCGGCUAACUCCGUGCCAGCAGCCGCGGUAAUACGGGGGGUGCAAGCGUUGUUCGGAAUUAUUGGGCGUAAAGAGCGUGUAGGCGGCGUGAUAAGUCAGAUGUGAAAUCCCUGGGCUCAACCCAGGAAGUGCAUUUGAAACUGUCUUGCUUGAGUACGGGAGAGGGAAGAGGAAUUCCUGGUGUAGAGGUGAAAUUCGUAGAUAUCAGGAGGAACACCGGUGGCGAAGGCGACUUCCUGGCCCGAUACUGACGCUGAGACGCGAGAGCGUGGGGAGCAAACAGGAUUAGAUACCCUGGUAGUCCACGCCGUAAACGAUGUUCACUAGGUGUUGGGGGUAUUGA